AGACCAGGGUAAUAUAAUGACAGUAGAUGGUAGACCAGGUUAAUAUAAUGACAGUAGAUGGAAGACCAGGGUAAUAUAAUGACAGUAGAUGGUAGACCAGGGUAAUAUAAUGACAGUAGAUGGUAGACCAGGGUAAUAUAUUGACAGUAGAUGGUAGACCAGGUUAAUAUAAUGACAGUAGAUGGUAGACCAGGUCAAUAUAAUGACAGUAGAUGGUAUACCAGGGUAAUAUAAUGACAGUAGAUGGUAGACCAGGGUAAUAUAAUGGCAGUAGAGCUUAGACCAGGGUAAUAUAGGUACAGUAGAUUGUAGACCAGGGUAAUAUAAUGACAGUAGAUGGUAGACCAGGGUAAUAUCAUGACAGUAGAUGGUAGACCAGGUUAAUAUAAUAACAGUAGAUGGUAUACCAGGGUAAUAUAAUGGAAGUAGAGUUUAGACCAGGGUAAUAUAGUGACAGUAGAUGGUAGACUACGUUAAUAUAAUGACCUUAGAAGGUAGAUCAGGGUAAUAUAAUGACAGUAGAUGGUUGACCAGGGUAAUAUAAUGACAGUAGAUGGUAGACCAGGGUAAUAUAAUGACAGUAGAGGGUAAUAUAAUGAGAGUAGAUGGUAGACCAGGGUAAUAUAAUGACAGUAGAGGGUAGGCCAGGGUAAUAUAAUGACAGUAGAUUGUAGACCAGGGUAAUAUAAUGACAGUAGAUGGUAGAGCAGGGUAAUAUAAUGACAGUAGAUGGUAGACCAGGGUAAUAUAAUGACUGUAGAGGGUAAUAUAAUGACAGUAGAUG
ensembl:lncRNA